GGCAAAUAAAUGUCUUGUAUGAAAAUAAGAUAUGUAUGUCCUUCUCUUGACCCACACUCCGUAAAGGAGACAGGUCUGAUAAAUCUAGAGUUGACUUGUUUUGAUAUUAUUAGAAUGAACUGGCAGUUUAUGAAAACAUAUCUGUCAUCUCAUAUUGUAAUAUGAUAAUUAUGAUGUUUAUUCACCUCAUUAAGGACCCGGGGGUGGGAGGGUAUGUACAGUUUAAAUAGAAGGUAACUAUAACAAUAUGAAAUAAAUAACAAUCAUGCAGAUGUACUACUACUGCAAGAGUUCACAUUGCUGCACUGCACACAUUUAACAUACAUGUAGUGUUACAUAUGUAAUACUGAUUUCAGACAAGAUUUUAAAAAUUAACGUAAUAAAAUACAUGUUAUGUGUGUAAUUUUCAAUAUAUCAGCAUUUUAAAGUUCACUGAACAUGCAUUGAGACACACAAUUUUAAAAUUGACAUUGUCUGACACAGUAUAAUUAAUGAUUAAUACUGACUGUGCAAAUAUCAAUUAUGAUGAUUUUUUUCUAAGCAUCAUCCUAAGGACCAGUGCAAGUUGAAAUGGGCUUCCAGCCAACAACUUCAACAGCAAUUUGCCAUGAAAAUCACCAAGAAAGGUACUUCAUUUACAUUGAUGAUGUCAUAUCCCCUGGACCCCACAACUUUACAGGUUACAGAGAAAAUUCGAGAACUUCUGCAAAAUGUGGGACUUGGAUAGAAUCAAUAAUGUAUUUGUGAGCCCAGAGCAAUGGAUAUAUUGUGCAACAUACUAUUCUAAAGUGUGAAUUUAAUGGAAAACAAGUACAUGUACUCAUGUAUUACAUGUCUUUUUUAAGACAAUAAUAUUGAAUAAAUAUAGAGGAA